rnacentral:rRNA from 1 species
UUCCGGUUGAUCCCGCCGGAGGCUACCGCUAUUGGAGUUCGAUUAAGCCAUGCGAGUCGCGAGUCUUAGGGACUCGGCGUACCGCUCAGUAACACGUGGGUAACCUGCCCUAUGCUGGGGGAUAACCUCGGGAAACUGAGAAUAAUACCCCAUAGUUCACCACGCCUGGAACGGUGGGUGGAUGAAAGCUCCGGCGGCAUAGGAUGGGCCUGCGGCGUAUCAGGUUGUAGGGGGUGUAAUGUACCCUCUAGCCAUCUACGCGUACGGGUGUUGGGAGACAUCGCCCGGAGAUGGAUUCUGAGACACGAAUCCAGACCCUACGGGGUGCAGCAGGCGCGAAAACUUGGCAAUGCGAGCAAUCGUGACCAGGGAACUCCAAGUGCAUCGGGUAAGACCGAUGCUUUUCUUGACUCUUCAAAGGUCUUGGAAUAAGGGGUGGGUAAGGACGGUGCCAGCCGCCGCGGUAAUACCGGCGCCUCAAGUGGUAGUCGCUUUUAUUGGGCCUAAAACGUCCGUAGCCGGUUUGGUACAUUCGUGGGUAAAUCAAGGCGCUCAACGUCUUGAAUUCUGCGAGCACGGCCAGACUUGGGACCGGGUGAGGUGUGGGGUACUCUCAGGGUAGGGGUAAAAUCCUGUCAUCCUGAGAGGACCACCUGUUGCGAAGGCGCCACACUAGAACGGAUCCGACGGUCAGGGACGAAGCCUAGGGGCACGAACCGGAUUAGAUACCCGGGUAGUCCUAGGUGUAAACGCUGUGGACUUGAUGUUGGGAGUGCUCCGAGCACCCUCAGUGUCGAAGCGAAGGUGAUAAGUCCACUGCCUGGGGAGUACGGUCGCAAGGCUGAAACUUAAAGGAAUUGGCGGGGGAGCACUGCAACCUGAGGAUUGUGCGGUUUAAUUGGAGUCAACGCCGG